AUGCCAUGGUGCGGCCAUUUCCUCAACAGCUCUUUGAACCUUUCCCACACGUUAGGAACAGCCUCAUCGUCCAUUUGUUUGAAAAGAUAAAUCUCAUUUAUGGACUU